rnacentral:rRNA from 1 species
UACAGAGGUCUCAAGCGUUGUUCGGAUUCAUUGGGCGUAAAGGGCGCGUAGGCGGCGGGGUAAGUCGGGUGUGAAAUCUCAGAGCUCAACUCUGAAACUGCACUCGAUACUGCUCUGCUUGAGGACUGGAGAGGAGACUGGAAUUCACGGUGUAGCAGUGAAAUGCGUAGAUAUCAGGAAGAACACCCGUGGCGAAGGCGGCUCUCUGGGACGGUACUGACGCUGAGACGCGAAAGCGUGGGGGAGCGAACAGG